UACGAAGGGGGGCUAGCGUUGUUCGGAAUACUGGGCGUAAAGCGCACGUAGGCGGAUAUUUUAAGUCAGGGGGUGAAAAUCCCCAGAGCUCAACUUCUGGAACUGCCUUUGAUACUGGGUAUCUGGAGUAUGGAAGAGGUGAGUGGAAUUCCGAGUGUAGAGGUGAAAUUCGUAGAUAUUGGAGGAACACCAGUGGCGAAGGCGGCU
rnacentral:rRNA from 1 species